rnacentral:piRNA from 1 species
UGUGCGUGCGUUCGUUCGUUCCACAAA